UCAUUAAAUCAGNUAUGGUUCCUUAGAUCGUACCCACAUUUACUUGGAUAACUGUGGUAAUUNUAGAGNUAAUACAUGCAAACAGAGCUCCGACCGGAAACGGAAGGAGUGCUUUUAUUAGAUCAAAACCAAUCGGCGGCAAUUUUGUAUCCACUUAAUUGUUCGUCGCACUUUUUGGUGACUCUGAAUAACUUUUGGCUGAUCGCACGGUCUCGCACCGGCGACGCAUCUUUCAAAUGUCUGCCUUAUCAACUGUCGAUGGUAGGUUCUGCGCCUACCAUGGUUGUAACGGGUAACGGGGAAUUAGGGUUCGAUUCCGGAGAGGGAGCCUGAGAAACGGCUACCACAUCCAAGGAAGGCAGCAGGCGCGCAAAUUACCCACUCCCGGCACGGGGAGGUAGUGACGAAAAAUAACGAUACGGGACUCAUCCGAGGCCCCGUAAUCGGAAUGAGUACACU
rnacentral:rRNA from 1 species